rnacentral:rRNA from 1 species
CCUACGGGAUGCAGCAGUGAGGAAUUUUGCGCAAUGGGCGAAAGCCUGACGCAGCAACGCCGCGUGGGUGAUGAAGGCCUUUGGGUCGUAAAGCCCUGUCAAGUGGGAAGAACCCGCAUGGUGCGAAUAAUGCCAUGCGCUGACGGUACCACUGAAGGAAGCACCGGCUAACUCCGUGCCAGCAGCCGCGGUAAUACGGGGGGUGCAAGCGUUAUUCGGAAUUAUUGGGCGUAAAGGGCGCGUAGGCGGCCGUUUAAGUCAGAUGUGAAAGCCCGGGGCUUAACCUCGGAAGUGCAUUUGA